rnacentral:rRNA from 1 species
CCUACGGGUGGCAGCAGUCGAGAAUUUUUCACAAUGGGGGAAACCCUGAUGGAGCGACGCCGCGUGGAGGAUGAAGGUCUUCGGAUUGUAAACUCCUGUCAUGCGAGAACAAGAAAGUGAUAGUAUCGCAAGAGGAAGAGACGGCUAACUCUGUGCCAGCAGCCGCGGUAAUACAGAGGUCUCAAGCGUUGUUCGGAUUCAUUGGGCGUAAAGGGUGCGUAGGCGGCGUGGAAAGUUGAGUGUGAAAUCCUAGGGCUUAACCUUAGAACUGCACUCAAUACUCCCAUGCUAGAGGAAUGUAGAGGAGAGUGGAAUUCACGGUGUAGCAGUGAAAUGCGUAGAUAUCGUGAGGAAGACCAGUUGCGAAGGCGACUCUCUGGGCAUUUCCUGACGCUGAGGCACGAAGGCCAGGGGAGCAAACGGGAUUAGAUACCCCAGUAGUC